rnacentral:rRNA from 1 species
AUUGAACGCUGGCGGUAGGCCUAACACAUGCAAGUCGAACGGUAACAGGAAGAAGCUUGCUUCUUUGCUGACAAGUGGCGGACGGGUGAGUAAUGUCUGGGAAACUGCCUGAUGGAGGGGGAUAACUACUGGAAACGGUAGCUAAUACCGCAUAACGUCGCAAGACCAAAGAGGGGGACCUUCGGGCCUCUUGCCAUCGGAUGUGCCCAGAUGGGAUUAGCUAGUAGGUGGGGUAACGGCUCACCUAGGCGACGAUCCCUAGCUGGUCUGAGAGGAUGACCAGCCACACUGGAACUGAGACACGGUCCAGACUCCUACGGGAGGCAGCAGUGGGGAAUAUUGCACAAUGGGCGCAAGCCUGAUGCAGCCAUGCCGCGUGUAUGAAGAAGGCCUUCGGGUUGUAAAGUACUUUCAGCGGGGAGGAAGGGAGUAAAGUUAAUACCUUUGCUCAUUGACGUUACCCGCAGAAGAAGCACCGGCUAACUCCGUG